GCCCAGGCCAGUUCUCGCGGCCUCUGGGCUGGACCAGGCUCUGCUCUGAGCGCGCUGCUCGGCGGCCCCGCGGGCGAGCCUACCGCUUCCCACGGCGACUCGGGCUCCAGCGCCAGGCGCUGGCGCGGACCCGCUUCCGUUCCGGGAGAGCGAGGGGCCCGAAACUUCACCUUCGCCCUGGACCUCAGAACACCGACCCGAGGCCGAAGCAAAGGUGUGGUUCAAGCCGGACAGAAAGGACGGCGCUGCUCCUCCCGGCCGGGGACCUGCGCGUUGCGGCCCCGCGGGAUGCGGUGGCCCCUGGGCCGCGCGCUGAGCUUCCCCGCACUCGGGCCGCGCGCCUCCGGUCCUCGGGGUCCGGCCCGGAGGCCUGAGCUCGCGCCCCAAGCCCUGGCCGGGAAGAUGCCAUCCCGGCCCGCGGCGACCCGAGCCCGAGGCGGGAGCCAGACGGCGCCGCCGGACUCGGGCGAGGGGUAAGGCCGGGCUGGGACCCCAUUUAGGGAAACGGCCUGCUCCAGAGGAAGUCCCCAAGUGUCAAGUGGCCCCGGGAAGGCUCCGCGGGGUUGCGGGGACUCCACAGUGCAGUUCGGUCCCGCGAGUGUCUCUCCAGCCCUCGCCUUCUCCCCUCCACUCCCCUCUCCACAGCCCCCGCCCCGCGCCAGUCCCGGGCGGCGGAGGCGAAGCCCACCGAGCCUAGAGAGAGCGAAGCCGCCCCCUGCUGGCCAGAUGAGGCAGGCGCGGCCAACAGCUCCGCUCCCCUCCGUCCCGCCGGCGCGCCUGCCCGGACCCAGCGCGACCCUCCUGUGCCCCCAGCGAGGGGGACGUGUUCAAAGAAACAGAAAACAAAACAAAAACAAACCAAGGGCCAAAACCACUCUCACCUCGUUUGCUGCUCAAAGUGGCAAAGUUUAUUUCAAAAAGUAAAAGUCAAGAAUGACAGAGAAACUGGCUCUACAGAGUGAGCCAGGUGAAAGAGGAAAAAAGCAAGAUAAAAGCACACCCUGGAGAAAGCAGGGCUGGAUACCAUGAAGAAAGCCAUGAUAGUCUUAUUUUGUUUUCAUUUCCUGUGAAGCCCUAUUCAUCUCCUUUGUUCAUUUUACUUGUUGUGUUUUUUGAUGUUUAUCUAUUUGUACAUGAAUUUGGUAAUUUAGAUAUAAGCUUUUUGUUUAUUCAUAGGCAUUGCAAAUAUCUUCUCAAUGUGUACUUGUGUUUUAAAUUUUUCUAUUGUUAUGCAUAUGUUUUAAAUUUAAGUGUAAUUAAGAAUAUUUUUUCUUGUAUGUUUUAGACUUUCAGAAUGAGCAAAAUCACAUCCUAAAAAUAUCCUAUACUUUCUUCUUCUAAAACUUUAGAUUUAAUUUUCACAGGUAAAUUUUCAGUUCACUUUAGAUUUUUAUAAAAUGUAUUUUUAAAAUUUACGUGAGCUAAAAUUCCUAUUUCUUUUCUUUUCCUUCUCCCCAUUCCCAACCAGUUUUGUGAGAUUUAACAGUUACAUAGCUUUACAGGAACACUAUCACAGUCAAAAUACAGAACACUUUGAUGAAGGGAAAGUUUCCCUUAGAUUGCCCCUGGGCAAACUCCCUGCCCUAAAUCCUGGCAACCACUGAUUUGUUCUGUAUCCCUAUAGAUUUUUUUUGGUUGUUUGUUUUGUAUCAGAUACUGGGGAUUGAAGCCAGGCCUUCAUGUACUGAGCUACCUCCCCAGUCUCCUCAGUUCCUAAUUUCCCAGUCUGGGGUUGAAUGCUAGAUCCUUUUGCUCAGCCUCAAUACUGGGAUUACAGCUAUGUGCCUCUAUGCUGGGUUACCUUAUAGUUUGUUUUUGCUUUUUUACUUUUUAAAGUAAAUCAUAGACAUAGAAUCAUAAAAUAUGUAAUCUUUGAAAUUACUUUCUUUUACUUGGCAUAAGAUGUUGCUUGUACUGCAUUAGUAAUUCCAUUUUAAAAAAUUUAUUGAAUAGCAUUUUAUUAUAGGGACAUACCACAGUUAUUUAUCCACUAAACUAUUACAAGAUAUUUAGGUCAUUUCCAGUUUUUGUUGACUAUAAAUGUGCUGCUGUAAGUGUUCUUGAACAGGUUUGUGUGAACAUAUGGUUUCAUCUCUAGAGGGCAAAUUCCAAAGAUAAAUGCUUGUUUUACUUUGUAAGAAUCUGUCACAGAGUGUUUCAGAGUGACUAUUGUCAUUUUUGCAAUGUAGAAAGAUGCUAGUCACUCUGUAUUCUUGCCAGCCUUAGAUAUUACUAUUACCAUUAUGAUGAUGAUGAUGAUGAUGAUGAUGAUGAUGAUGAUGAUGAUGAUGAUUGCUCUUUAGCCAUCCCAG
ensembl:lncRNA